AAAUUACAUUCAGAUUCAGCUAUGGGAAGAAAACAAAUGGGAAAAUAUUUCAACCAAAUAGAAUAUUCAUGCUCUUUCUUCGCAAAUUCUGCUACAAAAUCAGCUAGGACAUUUGCAAGAACGGGGAGCGAACGAGAACACCGAGUAGGAAAAUCUAUCUGGAGAGAUCGAAUCUCUUCAAUACAACAGUUGAUUUCGGCUACAGCAGAUGAUUUCUCUUGAAGAAGAUUUACCACAAACAUGCAAUCGGAUUCGAUGAUGAUGUUUUGGAUUUUUAAAGAGAUUGUGAGUUUUAGUUCUUCCUUAAUUGCUAGAGUUUCAACUAUGGGGCAUCUGAAAUAUUCUGAGUAUUAAUUGUUGAUAUUGCUAUGAUUGAGCUAUCGGACGAUCCUAUAACAACUCCUAAACGGGUUAGAGAGAAAGCAGAAGACCCGUGUUAAUUUUUGAAGCUGUUUGGAGGUGGAGGGCACCAUAACUUUGGAGAAAACAAUGUGGUCAAUAGUUUCUUUCUGUUUUCUGCAAACAUGGCAAAAAGGUAGCGGUUAAAUCCUCAGAAGAUAGCUCUACAUCUGCUCUGCCACUUCAGGACAAAGAUAUUAUAACCCGUCUGUUAGGUGGCUACUGUAAAUAUUGUACACAUGUUACAGUUGCUCAUAUAGGGACUAUGGUUUUGGGCAUCGAGACUUGUGAAACUAGUAAUGUAAUUACUCUAAAUAUGUUGUGUUUUUUAUUAAUAAAUUUUGGCCAUAGAGGCAUUCGCUGUAUAUGAAUUUAUAUAUUGGUAUCAGAGUUAUUUUUUGCUAGA